CUUUUUCGCGCGACCGUGAUUUUUUGACACAACAGUGUAUAGAUAGUGUAAAAAUCUUGUGAAUGUGAACAUAAAGGACACACCCCACGACGUACUGGCGACGUACUCGUUUUACACUACAUUGUUUCUAUAUUUGGCAAUAAUAAAUAUAUAUUCCAGCUUUCCUAAAUACAUAUUCAGCGGAAAAGGAGAAUAUAACCAUAACAUAAGCCUAAAC